rnacentral:rRNA from 1 species
UACGGGGGGGGCAAGCGUUGUUCGGAAUUACUGGGCGUAAAGGGCUCGUAGGCGGCCAACUAAGUCAGACGUGAAAUCCCUCGGCUUAACCGGGGAACUGCGUCUGAUACUGGAUGGCUUGAGGUUGGGAGAGGGAUGCGGAAUUCCAGGUGUAGCGGUGAAAUGCGUAGAUAUCUGGAGGAACACCGGUGGCGAAGGCGGCAUCCUGGACCAACACUGACACUGAGGAGCGAAAGCGUGGGGAGCGAACAGG